rnacentral:rRNA from 1 species
UACGGGGGGAGCAAGCGUUGUUCGGAUUUACUGGGCGUAAAGGGCGCGUAGGCGGCCACCGCAAGUCAAUUGUGAAAUCUCCGGGCUUAACUCGGAAAGGUCAACUGAUACUGCGGGGCUAGAGUGCGGAAGGGGCAACUGGAAUUCUCGGUGUAGCGGUGAAAUGCGUAGAUAUCGAGAGGAACACCUGCGGCGAAGGCGGGUCGCUGGGCUGACACUGACGCUGAUGCGCGAAAGCUAGGGGAGCGAACGGG